UGUUAUCAAUUAUCUAACUCAAGAAUACAAGCGAUAAAUAUAAUUAAGCCAAUUGUUAGGUCUAUCGGAGAAGAAUCUCAAUUCUAGCUUUAAUAUCUGGGCCUAGAAAAAAACAAUAAAUAUUUGACAAAAUCCCAAACAAGAAGAUAUAGUGAAGAACAGCCUUAAACGACAUUGUCUUAGAAGUGCAAAUGAGAUGGCGAUGGCUGUGUAAUGUCCUUCGCAUGAACAAAAGAAGACUCCCGAACAUGGACUCCACAUGGAAAGCGAAAAAGAGGAAGACCACUGGGAAAAGCGCGAGAGAGAUGGAAGAAUAAGUGCCAGUAGCUAGACAGACGAAUGGAGAAGAUUUGUUGCUACCCUAUUCUCCACAGGGAGUAACGAGGAUUAAUUGAUAGAGAAACUGAACUAAGAAAGAUAUUGUUGGAUACUGGAUAAAAAAACCACCACAAUAUUACAGAAAAUGAAAGAAAAUAGAAGAUCCUAGAUUGUAGAGUCCUGCCUCUAUCAGCUGCUUCCCUAUGUGCUGUCAGGAUGUAGACAUCUGUAUCACAGCUUUCAUCUACAGCUUUCUUCAAUGGAGAGGGAUGGAAUGGCCUAGCGGU